ACUCAAAGGAAUUGACGGGGGCUCACACAAGCGGUGGAGCAUGUGGCUCAAUUCGAAGCAACGCGAAGAACCUUAUCCUGGAUUUGACAUGGUGGAAGUAAGAAGCGGAAACGUUUAUGACCGGUAUCCAAUCCGGAACCAUCACAGGUGCUGCAUGGCUGUCGUCAGCUCGUGCUGUGAAGUGUCGGGUUAAGUCCCAUAACGAGCGAAACCCUUAUCGUUAGUUGCCAGCGAGUCAAGUCGGGCACUCUAACGAGACUGCCGGUGUUAAACCGGAGGAAGGCGGGGAUGACGUCAAGUCCUCAUGGCCUUUAUAUCCAGGGCUGCACACGUGCUACAAUGCCGAUGACAAACCGAAGCAAGACCGUAAGGUGGAGCAAAUCGGAGAAAAAUCGGCCCAGUUCAGAUUGAGGGCUGCAACUCGCCCUCAUGAAGUUGGAAUCGCUAGUAAUCGCGGAUCAGCUACGCCGCGGUGAAUGUGUUCCUGAGCCUUGUACACACCGCCCGU
rnacentral:rRNA from 1 species